rnacentral:rRNA from 1 species
GCCAGAGCCAUAUCACUGUGCAGCACUCUCCUGGUUUCCCACUGAAGCUAAGCAGGGUUGAGCCUGGACAGUACUUGGAUGGGAGACCUCUUGGGGAAAACUAAGGUUGCUGCUGGAA